rnacentral:rRNA from 1 species
UUAAACCCCUUAACGAGUAACCAUCAGAGGGCAAGUCUGGUGCCAGCAGCCGCGGUAAUUCCAGCUCUGAUAGCGUAUAUUAAAGUUGUUGCAGUUAAAAAGCUCGUAGUUGGAUUUUAGAGUGUAUUGAUACGGUCUCUUGUGAUAAACUUGUUGUACUGUAUUAAUUACUCUUUCCUACUGGUUACUCGACUCUGUUCUUUAUUGCAUGGAGUAGUGUCGCAAGGCAUCGCUUAGUAUUUUAUUGCUUUUAGAUGUAGUAAUUGGGUAAAAACUGGUUUGCGAAACCUAAGGGAUCACAGUAAAGUAUUAAGUGGGGUUCCAGUUCAUUUACUUUGAGUAAAUUAGAGUGUUCAAAGCAGCCUGUAUGGGCAUUGAAUAGAUUAGCAUGGGAUAAUAGAAUAGGAUUCUUGUCUAUUUAUUGGUUUAUAGGUUUAGAAUAAUGAUUAAUAGGGAUAGUUGG